AGCGAACACUGGCGGCAGGCCUAACACAUGCAAGUCGAACGAAGUCUUCGGACUUAGUGGCGGACGGGUGAGUAACACGUGGGAACGUGCCUUUAGGUUCGGAAUAACUCAGGGAAACUUGUGCUAAUACCGAAUGUGCCCUUCGGAGGAAAGAUUUAUCGGCUUUAGAGCGGCCCGCGUCUGAAUAGGUAGUUGGAGAGGUAAAGGCUCACCAAGGCGACGAGCAGUAGCUGGUCUGAGAGGAUGAUCAGCCACAUUGGGACUGAGACACGGCCCAAACUCCUACGGGAGGCAGCAGGGGGGAAUCUUGCGCAAUGGGCGAAAGCCUGACGCAGCCAUGCCGCGUGAAUUAUGAAGCUCUUAGGAUUGUAAAAUUCUUUCACCGGGGACGAUAAUGACGGUACCCGGAGAAGAAGCCCCGGCUAACUUCGUGCCAGCAGCCGCCGUAAUAC
rnacentral:rRNA from 1 species